GGGCGGUUACCCAAGUGGCCAACGGGGACUGACUGUAAAUCAGUUGGAGACACUCCUUCGGAGGUUCGAAUCCUUCACCGCCCACCU
rnacentral:tRNA from 1 species